AUUGAACGCUGGCGGAAUGCUUUACACAUGCAAGUCGAACGGCAGCACGGGGCAACCUGGUGGCGAGUGGCGAACGGUGAGUAAUACAUCGGAACGUGCCCAAUCGUGGGGGAUAACGUAGCGAAAGUUACGCUAAUACCGCAUACGAUCUACGGAUGAAAGCGGGGGAUCGCAAGACCUCGCGCGAAUGGAGCGGCCGAUGUCAGAUUAGGUAGUUGGUGGGGUAAAGGCUCACCAAGCCAACGAUCUGUAGCUGGUCUGAGAGGACGACCAGCCACACUGGAACUGAGACACGGUCCAGACUCCUACGGGAGGCAGCAGUGGGGAAUUUUGGACAAUGGGCGCAAGCCUGAUCCAGCCAUUCCGCGUGCAGGAUGAAGGCCUUC
rnacentral:rRNA from 1 species